rnacentral:tRNA from 1 species
GGGGAUUUGGCUCAGUGGUAGAGUGCUUGCCUAGGAAGCACAAGGUCAUGGGUUCGAUCCCCAGCCCUG